AUGUUGCUGACAUCUUGGUUGAUGGAUCACUGCAUUCGGCUUUGUUGCCUCUACUCAGCUUUCCCCAUCCUAAGCCCAGAAGAUGAUGAUACUCUUUAUCUCAAAUCUCUGGUGGAACCGAAUGAUAGGGAUGGAUGGGUGGCCGCCGUUGACGUAGGAAACAAGGCAGUGAAAGCAAUUGGAACGUAUAAUCUUCCGGAUGAUUUUUAUUACGACCGUGGUCAUGAUCCUGAACAUCCUUUCCGUGCCUGUACCCUGUCCCGCCAUCUUGAUAUGACUCCAGGCACUGAGGUCUCAGCGUGUCGCAAGAUCAGAGAGGCUAGUUGGUCUGCAAACCAUCCAAGCAACACCUCGGUAAGUAGUGAUUUCGCAUCACUUUUUAUUUCAAAGAAUUUCUGCCAACUAACUUGCCCUCUCUUCUGUGCAUAG
rnacentral:rRNA from 1 species